GAGAGAGAUCCAAACAGAGAGAGAGAUGAAGUGGUGAGAGGAAGCGUAAAGCUACUCAAUUUUAUAAGGUUUUGUGAGGAAACAAAUUCCUUAAUUAGUGAUGCGAUUGGUGUCUCCUUUUCUAUAAAGGAUGGCAUACCGAGCUUAGUACCAACAGAUGGCAAGACACUCGAGGUGGAUGAUACAGUUAAACCUGAAGAUUCUGCAGAAUCGUCGGACAAGCACGAAGCGGAUUGAAUAGGCAGUCGCUAGGUCAAAUUGUGAAACUUGUGGUAUUGUUCCCGAGUCACUGUUGCGGGGUUUAUUGCGAUUUUUUUUGGUAGGUUGCCUCCUCUUGACAAUCUCUUUUAAGCCAUUUGUUGAACCGAUUUAUUCGUGCUUUUGGUAGAUGGAAGGUCACAUCACCAAGUAUUCUUAAAUCGGCAUUUCAAUUUUUAUCCAUUUGUGAGGAAAUGCCUGAGAAUUCAUGUAUGACUUGUUACUCAGUACCGUUCAAAUCAUUAUGUGCUUCAUUAUCUGAGAUGAACUCGGCUAGGGAAGUUGUCUGACAUUUAUUCCGAGAUGAACAAUUGUACUGAGAGUUGUCGUAAAUUUUACUGUUGAGGUGAAUAAAUUCAUUCAUCGCUUCC
rnacentral:sRNA from 1 species